GGGAAGGUGGCAGAGUGGACGAAUGCACCGGUUUUGAAAACCGGCGUGGUGUUAAGCUACCGAGGGUUCGAAUCCCUCCCUUCCCG
rnacentral:tRNA from 1 species